AGAGUUUGAUCCUGGCUCAGGACGAACGCUGGCGGCGUGCUUAACGCAUGCAAGUCGAACGGAGUUUAAGAGGAAGCUUGCGAAUCUUAAACUUAGUGGCGGACGGGUGAGUAACGCGUGGAUAACCUGCCUACAUGCCUGGGACAACACCGGGAAACUGGUGCUAAUACCGGAUACGCUCUUGGAUGCACAUGCAUUCAAGAGGAAAGGAGCAAUCCGCAUAUAGAUGGGUCCGCGUCCCAUUAGCUAGUUGGGGGUGUAAGAGACCACCAAGGCGACGAUGGGUAGCCGGCCUGAGAGGGUGGACGGCCACACUGGAACUGAGACACGGUCCAGACUCCUACGGGAGGCAGCAGUGGGGAAUCUUCCGCAAUGGGCGAAAGCCUGACGGAGCAACGCCGCGUGAGUGAAGAAGGCCUUCGGGUCGUAAAACUCUGUCUUCAGGGAAGAAAAAAAUGACGGUACCUGAGGAGGAAGCCCCGGCUAACUACGUGCCAGCAGCCGCGGUAAAACGUAGGGGGCGAGCGUUGUCCGGAAUUACUGGGCGUAAAGGGCGCGUAGGCGGUUAUUUAAGUCAGAGGUGAAAACUACCGGCUCAACCGGUAGCCUGCCUUUGAAACUGGAUGACUUGAGGGCAGGAGAGGGGAGUGGAAUUCCCAGUGUAGCGGUGAAAUGCGUAGAUAUUGGGAGGAACACCAGUGGCGAAGGCGGCUCUCUGGCCUGUUUCUGACGCUGAGGCGCGAAAGCGUGGGGAGCAAACGGGAUUAGAUACCCCGGUAGUCCACGCCGUAAACGAUGGGUGCUAGGUGUAGGAGGUAUCGACCCCUUCUGUGCCGUAGUUAACACAAUAAGCACCCCGCCUGGGGAGUACGGCCGCAAGGUUGAAACUCAAAUGAAUUGACGG
rnacentral:rRNA from 1 species